rnacentral:lncRNA from 1 species
GAAUUCAAUAUCUUCACUUAAUACAAUAUAAUUCAAUAAUUUUAAUUCUCAAGGUCACAGAUUUUUUUCAAAUUGAUCAGUCCAAACUCAUAUUCUACAAUAUUCAAAUCAUAGUUUCAAUAAUACUUCUCUCAAUCACAAUUCUUUAUAAGCAAAUAAUAAAAGCAAAGAUAACAAAGAGGUAGCACCAAGCUUACCUUGGCUUACAACUCUCAGAGUCUGGCCCCCCGGCUUACGACUCUCACAGUGUGGCCCCCCCGCUUACGACUCUCACAGUCUGGCCUCCCAACUUACAACUCUCACAGUCUAGCCCCAAUCUCUCUUUCCUCAACCUCUUUAUCCUAUCCAAAAGAUGGACCGUCAGCCAACAGAUUCCAAAGGUUAUGAUCCUUUGAAUUCUUAA